CAUUACCUAGAGUUUGUGGGCUUUGCCCACUGUCUCUUACCCAUGUCUUUUGAGUACUUACGUUUCCUCGGUGGGCUCGCCCGCCGGUUGGACAAUUUAAACCAUUUGCAGUUGCAAUCAGCGUCUGAAAAACAUAAUAGUUACAACUUUCAACAACGGAUCUCUUGGUUCUGGCAUCGAUGAAGAACGCAGCGAAAUGCGAUAAGUAGUGUGAAUUGCAGAAUUCAGUGAAUCAUCGAAUCUUUGAACGCACAUUGCGCCCCUUGGUAUUCCAUGGGGCAUGCCUGUUCGAGCGUCAUUUGUACCUUCAAGCUCUGCUUGGUGUUGGGUGUUUGUCUCGCCUUGCGCGUAGACUCGCCUUAAAACAAUUGGCAGCCGGCGUAUUGAUUUCGGAGCGCAGUACAUCUCGCGCUUUGCACUCAUAACGACGACGUCCAAAAGUACUUUUUACACUCUUGACCUCGGAUCAGGUAGGGAUACCCGCUGAACUUAAGCAUAUCAAUAAGCGGAGGAAAAGAAACCAACAGGGAUUGCCCUAGUAACGGCGAGUGAAGCGGCAACAGCUCAAAUUUGAAAUCUGGCGUCUUUGGCGUCCGAGUUGUAAUUUGCAGAGGGCGCUUUGGCAUUGGCAGCGGUCCAAGUUCCUUGGAACAGGACGUCACAGAGGGUGAGAAUCCCGUACGUGGUCGCUAGCCUUUACCGAGUAAAGCCCCUUCGACGAGUCGAGUUGUUUGGGAAUGCAGCUCUAAAUGGGAGGUAAAUUUCUUCUAAAGCUAAAUACUGGCCAGAGACCGAUAGCGCACCAGUA
rnacentral:misc_RNA from 1 species